rnacentral:tRNA from 1 species
GCGGACGUGGUGAAACUGGCAUACACGCAGGAUUUAGGUUCCUGUCCGAAAGGGUGCGGGUUCAAGUCCCGCCGUCCGUACCA